AGUCUUGUAAGAUCGCUGAAAAGCAGAUGUCUGGGCCUUCCUACCCUUUCUGUGUCUGCAGGCAUCUGAGAGUUGAAGGGCAGAGAAGCUGCCCACAAGACUGCCGGAGACACCACUGAAUGGGGUUUUGGGGCUGAUGGCAUAUGCGUUUCUCUUUUAAAUAUAUAUAUUUUUUUCAUCUUGGUUAAAACCACAAGUAUUUGAAAUACUCUCAAAGGAAUGAAAUCUCAGACCUGUGGAAUGUCAGUCGUGGAAAUUAAAUGGGCACCACGUGACCUAGCAAAUGCCACUGUGGAAAAUAAACGCAUAAGGCUGAGCAGACCUACUGUUUACGCUAACAUUUUGAGAUGACAGGCAAUCACUUUCAAAACCACGACCAGAGGCAGAGCUCUGAGAAGGCUUCAGUCAAGAGUGUUUUAAAGCAAAUUGACGAUUCGGCUGUGAUUCUCUAGCAAAUUAAGGAUCUGCUCUUGAAUACUGGACAAUGAGAGCCCAGAGAAAGCUACUGAAUACACACAAAUGCAUUCUUCCCUUUUUUUUUUUUUUUUUGAGGAAUAUUAGCCCUGAGCUAACAUCUGCUGCCAAUCCUCUUCUUUUUCGCUGAGGAAGACUGGCCCUGAGCUAACAUCCGUGUCCAUCUUCCCCUACUUUAUAUGUGGGACAUCUGCCACAGCAUGGCUUAACAAGCAGUGCGUAGGUCUGCACCCAGGAUCUGAACCAGUGAACCCUGAGCCACCGAACCAGAACGUGCACACUUAACCACUGCACCACUGGGCUGGCCCCACACUCUUCCUUUUUGGCCACAAGAGACUGUGCUGGUAAUACUCGUCUUGCUCGAUGCUCUUUGCAGCUGUGCAAAACCAAGAUCUCAUAUUAUAAGGAGCGAGCACUAUAGCUUAACUCUGAUGUGAUGCUAGAGAUAGCAUUGCAAAUGCAGAAGACUUGGCCACAUGGCACCACGCAGCUGGAAUCAAUUGGAGUGAAUGUGGGCGGCUGCCGAGGCCUGCCCCGGGGAAGCGGUGGGAAGCCCUUCCCUCUGGUUUGGCAAGGUUUGGCUCAAGCCUGCCAGAAUCAUCAGCCUCCUUGGGGCAGCCACGGAGAGCAAGAACUUGGCCCACACCCGCCUUCAGCAGAAUGAAACCCAGGCCCCUGUGGACAGCUCAGGCCCUGCCCAUAUUUUCACCUGGAUUGCUGGAAUAAACACUCAACUAGGAGUAUUCUCUUCUCAAAGGGAGAGACAAAGCAGUGUGGAUAUUUCCCAGAAAAAAAGCAAAAUCCAGUCAGUUGCUUUCAGGCCUUCAAAGCAUUAAAAUUGAGGUCUUAUGUUUCACAGUGUAUAGAAGCCAAACCUUGGCUGAAUUGUGUAGUUGGAUGGUUUGUAUUUGCACCUCUCUCCUCCUCCCCUCGGGUCUCCUUUCCUAAUUUUAAGCAUCUCAGCUCAUUUGAUUAAAAUAUACGUGUGGCCUACAGUGUGUUUUGUCACUGGCUUUGUACAGGAAAUACUGAGUGACUGAGACAUGCCCAGGGCCUGUCUUCAGGUUGCUUACAAGCUCUUCCACAUUCUUGUGUCUCUCCUCAGUCUCAGGAU
ensembl:lncRNA